rnacentral:rRNA from 1 species
CAGGUUGUAGUGGGUGUAAUGUACCUACUAGCCUACGACGGGUACGGGUUGUGGAAGCAAGAGCCCGGAGAUGGAUUCUGAGACAUGAAUCCAGGCCCUACGGGGCGCAGCAGGCGCGAAAACUUUACAAUGCGGGAAACCGUGAUAAGGGAACACUGAGUGCUAGCAUUUAUGUUAGCUGUCCACAUGUGUAAAUAGCAUGUGAUAGCAAGGGCUGGGCAAGACCGGUGCCAGCCGCCGCGGUAACACCGGCAGCCCGAGUGGUGAUCACUAUUAUUGGGUCUAAAGGGUCCGUAGCCGGUUUAAUCAGUCUUCUGGGAAAUCUAAUCGCUUAACUAUUAGGCUUCCAGGGGAUACUGUUAGACUUGGGACCGGGAGAGGUAAGAGGUACUGCA